CCUACGGGUGGCAGCAGUGAGGAAUAUUGGUCAAUGGGCGCAAGCCUGAACCAGCCAUCCCGCGUGCAGGAAGACGGCCCUAUGGGUUGUAAACUGCUUUUCCAGGGGACGAAUAGUUUCUACGUGUAGAGACCUGACGGUACCUUGGGAAUAAGCAUCGGCUAACUCCGUGCCAGCCGCCGCGGUAAUACGGAGGAUGCAAGCGUUAUCCGGAUUCAUUGGGUUUAAGGGGGAUUUAGGCGGCUUAGGUGAAAUCCUACAGCUGAACUGUAGAACUGCCAUUGAUACUGUUAGUCUUGAGUUUGGUGAAGGUAGGCGGAAUGUGUAAUGUAGCGGUGAAAUGCUUAGAUAUUACACAGAACACCAAUUGCGAAGGCAGCUUACUGGACCGACACUGACGCUGAGGCACGAAAGCGUGGGGAUCGAACAGGAUUAGAUACCCCAGUAGUC
rnacentral:rRNA from 1 species